UACAGAGGUCUCAAGCGUUGUUCGGAUUCAUUGGGCGUAAAGGGUGCGUAGGUGGCGCCGUAAGUCGGGUGUGAAAUUUCGGAGCUUAACUCCGAAACUGCAUUCGAUACUGCGGUGCUUGAGGACUGGAGAGGAGACUGGAAUUCAUGGUGUAGCAGUGAAAUGCGUAGAGAUCAUGAGGAAGACCAGUGGCGAAGGCGGGUCUCUGGACAGUUCCUGACACUGAGGCACGAAGGCCAGGGGAGCAAACAGGG
rnacentral:rRNA from 1 species